rnacentral:rRNA from 1 species
AUUGAACGCUGGCGGCAUGCUUUACACAUGCAAGUCGAACGGUAACAGGCCUUCGGGUGCUGACGAGUGGCGAACGGGUGAGUAAUGCAUCGGAACGUACCCAGAGGUGGGGGAUAACGCAGCGAAAGCUGUGCUAAUACCGCAUGUGAUCUGAGGAUGAAAGCGGGGGACCGAGCAGCAAUGUUUGGCCUCGCGCCUUUGGAGCGGCCGAUGUCGGAUUAGCUAGUUGGUGGGGUAAAGGCCUACCAAGGCGACGAUCCGUAGCUGGUCUGAGAGGACGACCAGCCACACUCGGACUGAGACACGGCCCAGACUCCUACGGGAGGCAGCAGUGGGGAAUUUUGGACAAUGGGCGCAAGCCUGAUCCAGCAAUGCCGCGUGCGGGAAGAAGGCCUUCGGGUUGUAAACCGCUUUUGGCAGGAACGAAACGGUGUCCGCUAAUACCGGGCGCUAAUGACGGUACCUGCAGAAUAAGCACCGGCUAACUACGUG